rnacentral:rRNA from 1 species
UACGGGGGGAGCAAGCGUUGUUCGGAUUUACUGGGCGUAAAGGGCGCGUAGGCGGCCACCGCAAGUCAAUUGUGAAAUCUCCGGGCUUAACUCGGAAAGGUCAACUGAUACUGCGGGGCUAGAGUGCGGAAGGGGCAACUGGAAUUCUCGGUGUAGCGGUGAAAUGCGUAGAUAUUGAGAGGAACACCUGCGGCGAAGGCGGGUUGCUGGGCCGACACUGACGCUGAGGCGCGAAAGCCAGGGGAGCGAACAGG